rnacentral:rRNA from 1 species
CCUGGCGGCGAUAGCGCGGACCUGACCCCAUGCCGAACUCAGAAGUGAAACGCCGUAGCGCCGAUGGUAGUGUGGGGCUUCCCCAUGUGAGAGUAGGGAACUGCCAGGC